GACUUACCCAGGACACUUGCUUGCAGAAAAUGCUUUUUAGUUUUGUUUAGUGGUGAAAACUCCCUGAAUGCUGAAGAAGGGCACUGUUUUUCUCUACCACACAUGCUUUGUGUCCAGUAGAAAUUGAUUUAAAAACAAACAAACAGAAAAAAACCUGUCCUGGGAGCCAUCCAGGAUGAAUUUACUGAAUCGUUCAUGUGGAAGGGAAUGGAAAGGUCUGCAUCCUGCUGGUUACUUUUCAGCAGCACAGGAGAAAGGCAGUGAUGGACAGAGGCAUGUGUGUGAACAGGAGGAAACAAGGAUCUCUGUGUGGCUGCAGGAUAUAAGGAGAAACAGACUUGUGGGGCAGAGACUGGACGAGUCCCUUUUGGAGUCAGCAGUCAGACCAGCUUUCCCCUUGGGCAAAGCUCCAUUGGAGUUGGAGACCACCAUCCCUUAAGCCCUGGCAUCAGCCAUUUAUGGGAAUGUCACUGCUGGGAAGUAGCAGGGCUGGGAAGCAGGGGAAGAAGGGCUGUUUCUCACCUGGUUCCUGCCUGGAAGAGAGGCAGGGUUUGGAGCCUGACAUCAGGAAACUCAAGUCCCCUCAUAAUGGUAUUUUCUGAUUUUGCAGAAUUUCUAAUUAGAAGUUAACCCUCUAAUAUCAAACUCUAUUUGACCUUCCCUAGAGAAUAAGAUUUCUAACACAUGUAAAACAUGUUGUUAAAAACAUGGCCUAUUGAAAAGAAAAACAAGUUUUCCUGUUUAUACUUUUGAUUACUGAGGAAUUGUUCACCUAUUUUCAAAAAACAGUAUCUUCAUGAGGUUUCUUUUUUAUUACUGUUAUUUUUGUUGCUUUGAAAAUAACUUUUUUCACAACUGUUUACUGUUUUCCAAAUACCUCUUAUUGGUGCACAUCAGUCCUAAAAAAAGCCAAAAAUGCUUCAGAUCCUUCAGGAUUCAUCAAUACUUUAUAGACUCAUAGAAUAGCUGAGUUUGGCAAAGACCUCUAGAGAUGAUCUAGGCCAACCCUCCUGCAUAAGCAGCUUGCUUAGGACUAUGUACAGUCAGCUUUUGAAAAUCUCCAUAGAAGGAUUCCACAAUGCUCUGAGCAACCCGUCCCACUGUUCAACCACCCUUACAGCAAAAAAAGAAAAAAAUCUCUAAAAAAAUUUUACUUAAAAAAAAAAGUCUUGUAUUUCAUUUUAUGUCCAUUGCCCAUUGUCCUGUCACCAGAAAUCACUGACAAGAGUAUGGCUCCUUUGCUCCUUCCAUCAGCUAUUUACACACACCG
rnacentral:lncRNA from 1 species